ACCGUACUCCUACGGGAGGCAGCAGUGGGGAAUAUUGGACAAUGGGCGAAAGCCUGAUCCAGCAAUGCCGCGUGAGUGAUGAAGGCCCUAGGGUUGUAAAGCUCUUUUACCCGGGAAGAUAAUGACUGUACCGGGAGAAUAAGCCCCGGCUAACUCCGUGCCAGCAGCCGCGGUAAUACGGAGGGGGCUAGCGUUGUUCGGAAUUACUGGGCGUAAAGCGCACGUAGGCGGCUUUGUAAGUCAGAGGUGAAAGCCUGGAGCUCAACUCCAGAACUGCCUUUGAGACUGCAUCGCUUGAAUCCAGGAGAGGUCAGUGGAAUUCCGAGUGUAGAGGUGAAAUUCGUAGAUAUUCGGAAGAACACCAGUGGCGAAGGCGGCUGACUGGACUGGUAUUGACGCUGAGGUGCGAAAGCGUGGGGAGCAAACAGGAUUAGAAACCCUAGUAGUCCUUGAC
rnacentral:rRNA from 1 species